rnacentral:rRNA from 1 species
CAGCGGGGGGGGGGGCUUAUAUGUUUUGUCAUGGCUCAGCAUGAACGCUGCCGGCGUGCCUAAUACAUGCAAGUCGAGCGAAUGGAUUAAGAGCUUGCUCUUAUGAAGUUAGCGGCGCACGGGUGAGUAACACGUGGGUAACCUGCCCAUAAGACUGGGAUAACUCCGGGAAACCGGGGCUAAUACCGGAUAACAUUUUGCACCGCAUGGUGCGAAAUUGAAAGGCGGCUUCGGCUGUCACUUAUGGAUGGACCCGCGUCGCAUUAGCUAGUUGGUGAGGUAACGGCUCACCAAGGCAACGAUGUGUAUCCGCCUGAGAGGGGUUGCACGCUGGGACUGAGACACGGCCCCGCCCAGGGGUGGCAGUAGGGGAAUCUUCCGCAAUGGACGAAAGUCUGCCGGAGCAACUCCGCGUGAGUUAUGAAGUCUUUCGGGUCGUAGGGCUCUGUUGUUAGGGAAGACAAGUGCUAGUUAAUGCUUGCCCUUGUCGGUACCUAACCAGAAAGCCACGGCUAACUACGUGCCAGCAGCCGCGGUAAUACGUAGGUGGCAAGCGUUAUCCGGAAUUAUUGGGCGUAAAGCGCGCGCAGGUGGUUUCUUAAGUCUGAUGUGAAAGCCCACGGCUCAACCGUGGAGGGUCAUUGGAAACUGGGAACUUGAGUGCAGAAGAGGAAAGUGGAAUUCCAUGUGUAGCGGUGAAAUGCGUAGAGAUGUGGAGGAACACCAGUGGCGAAGGCGGCUUUUUGGUCUGUAACUGACGCUGAGGCGCGAAAGCGUGGGGAGCAAACAGGAUUAGAUACCCUGGUAGUCCACGCCGUAAACGAUGAGUGCUAAGUGUUAGAGGGUUUCCGCCCUUUAGUGCUAAAGUUAACGGGCUUUUG